CAAUAGCGUAUAUUAAAGUUGUUGCAGUUAAAAAGCUCGUAGUUGGAUUUGUGGCGUACGGUGUGUUCCGGGCACUUGUUGUCUGAGUAACCUGCUGUUGCCAUCCUUGGGUGGAACCUGUGUGGCAUUAGGUUGUCGUGCAGGGGAUGCCCAUCAUUUACUGUGAAAAAAUUAGAGUGUUCAAAGCAGGCUUAUGCCGUUGAAUAUAUUAGCAUGGAAUAAUGAGAUAGGACUUUUUUGCUAUUUUGUUGGUUUGCGCAAGAAGGUAAUGAUUAAUAGGGACAGUUGGGGGUAUUCGUAUUCCAUUGUCAGAGGUGAAAUUCUCGGAUUUUUGGAAGACGAACUACUGCGAAAGCAUUUACCAAGGAUGUUUUCAUUAA
rnacentral:rRNA from 1 species